UGGGGGAUAUUGCACAAUGGGCGAAAGCCUGAUGCAGCGACGCCGCGUGGGGGAUGAAGGCUUUCGGCUUGUAAACCUCUUUCGCUAUCGAACAAGGCCCGCUUAGGGUGGGUUGAGGGUAGGUGGAGAAGAAGCGCCGGCUAACUACGUGCCAGCAGCCGCGGUAAUACGUAGGGCGCGAGCGUUGUCCGGCAUUAUUGGGCGUAAAGGGCUUGUAGGCGGCUUGUUGCGCCUGCUGUGAAAACGCGGGGCUUAACAUCGCGCGUGCAGUGGGUACGGGCAGGCUUGAGUGUGGUAGGGGUGACUGGAAUUCCAGGUGUAGCGGUGGAAUGCGCAGAUAUCUGGAGGAACACCGAUGGCGAAGGCAGGUCACUGGGGCAUUACUGACGAUGAGGAGCGAAAGCAUGGGUAGCGAACAGG
rnacentral:rRNA from 1 species